UACGAAGGGUGCAAGCGUUAUUCGGAUUUAUUGGGUGUAAAGGGUGCGUAGACGGCAUGUUAAGUCCGCUGUUAAAUUUCCCAGCUUAACUGGGAGCCAGCGGUGGAUACUGAUGUGCUAGAGGAUUUGAGGGGGGAUUGGAAUACUUGGUGUAGCAGUGAAAUGCGUAGAUAUCAAGUGGAACACCAGUGGCGAAGGCGAAUCCCUGGAAAAUACCUGACACUGAGGCACGAAAGCUAGGGGAGCAAACAGG
rnacentral:rRNA from 1 species